GACGAACGCUGGCGGCAUGCCUAACACAUGCAAGUCUAGGGGUAGCAAUACCACUGGCGCACGGGUGAGUAACACGUAGGUUAUCUGCCCCCAUCACAGACAUAACCCCGGGGAAACCGGGGCUAAUAUCUGAUGAGGUCGCGAGAUCAAAGCUUCGGCGGAUGGGGGAUGAGCCUGCGGCUGAUUAGCUAGUUGGUGAGGUAAUGGCUCACCAAGGCGACGAUCAGUAGCUGGUCUGAGAGGACGAACAGCCACACUGGAACUGAGACACGGUCCAGACUCCUACGGGAGGCAGCAGUGAGGAAUAUUGGGUCAAUGGGAGCAAUCCUGAACCAGCAAUGCCGCGUGUGGGAUGACAGGGCUUC
rnacentral:rRNA from 1 species